rnacentral:rRNA from 1 species
AGUGAACGCUGGCGGUAGGCCUAACACAUGCAAGUCGAACGGCAGCACAGGAGAGCUUGCUCUCUGGGUGGCGAGUGGCGGACGGGUGAGGAAUACAUCGGAAUCUGCCCAGUCGUGGGGGAUAACGUAGGGAAACUUACGCUAAUACCGCAUACGACCUUCGGGUGAAAGAGGGGGAUCGCAAGACCUCUCGCGAUUGGAUGAGCCGAUGUCGGAUUAGCUAGUUGGCGGGGUAAUGGCCCACCAAGGCGACGAUCCGUAGCUGGUCUGAGAGGAUGAUCAGCCACACUGGAACUGAGACACGGUCCAGACUCCUACGGGAGGCAGCAGUGGGGAAUAUUGGACAAUGGGCGCAGGCCUGAUCCAGCCAUACCGCGUGGGUGAAGAAGGCCUUCGGGUUGUAAAGCCCUUUUGUUGGGAAAGAAAUCUUUCAGGCUAAUACCCUGGGAGGAUGACGGUACCCAAAGAAUAAGCACCGGCUAACUUCGUG